CAGCAGCCACGGUAAUACGAAGGGGGCUAGCGUUGUUCGGAACCACUGGGCGUAAAGCGCACGUAGGCGGACGCUUAAGUCAGGGGUGAAAUCCCGAGGCUCAACCUCGGAACUGCCUUUGAUACUGGGUGUCUUGAGUCCGGGAGAGGUGAGUGGAACUGCGAGUGUAGAGGUGAAAUUCGUAGAUAUUCGCAAGAACACCAGUGGCGAAGGCGGCUCACUGGCCCGGAACUGACGCUGAGGUGCGAAAGCGUGGGGAGCAAACAGGAUUAGAUACCCCCGUAGUCCCUGUCUCUUAUAC
rnacentral:rRNA from 1 species